UGAACGCUAGCUACAGGCUUAACACAUGCAAGUCGAGGGGCAGCAUAGCGGAAGCUUGCUUCUGCUGAUGGCGACCGGCGCACGGGUGAGUAACGCGUAUCCAACCUUCCCUACAGUAGGGGAUAGCCCGGCGAAAGUCGGAUUAAUACCCUAUGUUCUUCUUCGAUGACAUCUGACGAGAAGCAAAGGUUCACCGCUAUAGGAUCGGGGAUGCGUCUGAUUAGCUUGUUGGCGGGGUAACGGCCCACCAAGGCUACGAUCAGUAGGGGUUCUGAGAGGAAGGUCCCCCACAUUGGUACUGAGACACGGACCAAACUCCUACGGGAGGCAGCAGUGAGGAAUAUUGGUCAAUGGGCGAGAGCCUGAACCAGCCAAGUAGCGUGCAGGAAUGACUGCCCUAUGGGUUGUAAACUGCUUUUAUGCGGGAAUAAAGUCGGGCACGUGUGCCUGUUUGUAUGUACCGCAUGAAUAAGGACCGGCUAAUUCCGUGCCAGCAGCCGC
rnacentral:rRNA from 1 species